UGUGAGACCGUAUCUCCUCCUAGAGGUGAAUUUCAAUCCGUACACGGCUCCUUACCCAGCUUUCAAACGUCGCUCUUGGUUUAAACCCUAUAGGGAUACCAGAGUCAAAGGCAGUGUUAAUACCUGAACUAAAUAAGCCACUUUCUGUAAGGAAUUUGGUGAAUAGGAAGAUUUGUAUGAAUACAGCUUCCUCUUGGCUUGGGGUAACCCAGGCUUUGUUUACCCGAUCUGUGGGGACUCGGGACGGUUUUGCUAUUUAUCAGUUUGUAGAGUGUUUCAGGUACACUCCAUACAAUAACGAAUACGGGGGAUUGGUGUUCAAAUCCGGAGAAGGAGCCUUAGAGAUGGCUACUGGUACUAAGGUGUACAGCAGGCGCGAAACUUGCCCAAUGGUAGCCCGCUACCGAGGCAGUGACAAGAAAUAAGCACCUUCCACAUUUCGUUGGAAGGGUACCACGUACUUUGUACUGGUUUACAAUGGUGGGGUUGUAGCAGAACCCCAGAGGAACAAUCAGAGGGAAAGUCAGGUGCCAGCAUCCGCGGUAAUACCUGCUCUGAGAGUCUAUGAUAACGUUGCUGCGGUUAAACGUUCGUAGUUUACGUAGGAGAGGUCUUACGUCUGAGUCAAAAGAAUGACACUCUAGAUAUAGUUGGUUCUAACCAGCUUAUUUGGAGACAACUUCGGUUGUGGUUUCCUUCGGGGAAUUUGCUUCGUUCUUUUUUAGCAACACUUGGUGAGGCGCCCACGUACUUCGGUCCGUAGCACUUACACUAAGAAAGUUGUGGUUCAGCGUUGCCUUUCGAAAAACUUAUUAACCCGUGAGCAAAUCAAGGUGAUCAAGGCACGAUUAGUUAACCUCUUUACUCUUCGGAGUUUAGAGGUCUACGAUGUAAAAUGUCACAGCACGGAACUAAUUACACCAGCUGCUUUAUGUAGCUGGGAAAGGGAAAAAGGCCAGGUUUGAGGGAACGGUACCUACUGAUCAGGGGUGAAAUCCGUACAGUCAGUAGAGACCAACGGAAGCGAAAGCGGUUCUCUAGCACUGUCCUAUUGAUGAGGGUCGAGAGUCAGGGGAGCAAAGAUGAUUAGAUACCGUCGUAGUCUUGACCGUAAACGAUUCAGGCAAGGGUUUCGAUUGAACCCUCUCGCCAGAUCAAUUUAGAACCCCCGGGAAACCUUUAGCGUUUGUGAUCCGGGGGGAGUAUGUUCGCAAGGAUGAAACUUAAAGGAAUUGACGGAAACUUACCACCAGGAGUGGAUUCUGCGGCUUAAUUCGACUCAACGCGUGGAAUCUUACCAGGUCCAGACUGCAGGAAGAUUGACAAGCUAUAGACUUUUCUUGAUUGGCAAAACAGUGGUGCAUGGUCGUUCUAAGUUCGUGGAUUGGUCCGUCUGCUUAAUUGCGAUAACGAGCGAGAUCUCUAUUGCUACUUGGUAGCCGUAUAUUCCUUAUCGAAUAUCGGGAACAUAGGGUUAUCUCUUCGGAGACAAACCCUUCCUCAUAGCAAGACCUCAAGUGAUUUAAUUGCAGCUUGGUGAUGGUAGAGGUGAGAACAGAUCCGUUAUGCCCUCAGAUGUUCUGGGCGGCACGCGUAAUACAAUGCUAUCGUACAGUAGGUCCGUCUUACCACUUUUCGAAGUGGAUGACAUACCUAACUCUAAAUGGUCCGGAAAACCACGUAAACGGUCGUAAAUCUGGGAUCGUGGGUUGCAAGUCCCACGUGAACCAGGAAUUCCUAGUAAGCGAAGGUCAACAUCCUAC
rnacentral:rRNA from 1 species